GACGAACGCUGGCGGCGUGCUUAACACAUGCAAGUCGAACGGAAAGGCCCUGCUUUCGUGGGGUGCUCGAGUGGCGAACGGGUGUGUAACACGUGAGUAACCUGCCCUUGACUGUGGGAUAACUUCAGGAAACUGGGGCUAAUACCGGAUAGGAGCUCCUGCUGCAUGGUGGGGGUUGGACAGUUUGGGCGGAUGGGGAUGGACGCGCGGCUUAUCAGCUUGUUGGUGGGGUAGUGGCUUACCAAGGCUUUGACGGGUAGCCGGCCUGAGAGCGUGACCGGGCACAUUGGGACUGAGGUACGGAGCAGAGUGCUACGGGAGGCAGCAGUGGGGAAUAUUGCACAAUGGGCGGAAGCCUGAUGCAGCAACGCCGCGUGCGGGAUGACGGCCUUCGGGUUGUAAACCGCUUUCGCCUGUGACGAAGCGUGAGUGACGGUAAUGGGUAAAGAAGCACCGGCUAACUACGUG
rnacentral:rRNA from 1 species